AGUCAUGGCUCACCUAUUAACCGGCGGCCGUAGAAGGACUAAUCACCUAACUGAAACACUAAUAAUCAGAAGAUAGAUUGAACUUCGUUUAAUGGAUAUACAACAUAUUGAAUUAUUUUCUAUUUGGUCUAAUUGAUAUAAUCAUGUCUAAUAGAGUUCACAAUCUUUACUUUGAAGAUCUGUAGCUAGACGUUAGAACUGUUGACAUGCAAAUAAUUAACUAACUGCAUGUCGUACUUGAAUUACAGGUUUUUUGGUUUCGUCACUCCUUUGUUAUAUGGAAGAAGACUUCAUGGUAGAAGAUAGCGACAGAGUGCUGCCGGAUAAUGAGAUGUUGAAGCGGCAGACUGGAUCCAUGACACCGAAGUGCAAUUGCGGCAGAUUAUCUCUAUCUUUUCUUUUCAUUUUUCUUAUUAUUGAGUGAGAACAGAAUGAGGAACUGUGUGAUAGUACAUACAACAACUGUAGUAAAAAGAAACUUAUGUUUGCAAUUGUUAAUGACAUAGAUACUUGCAUGUUCUUUGAAGUGGUCAUUUGUGAGUUGCAAUGCAUAA